rnacentral:rRNA from 1 species
UACGUAGGGUGCGAGCGUUAAUCGGAAUUACUGGGCGUAAAGCGUGCGCAGGCGGCUUCGCAAGUCGAGUGUGAAAUCCCCGAGCUUAACUUGGGAAUUGCGCUCGAAACUACGGAGCUGGAGUGUGGCAGAGGAAGGUGGAAUUCCACGUGUAGCGGUGAAAUGCGUAGAGAUGUGGAGGAACACCGAUGGCGAAGGCAGCCUUCUGGGCCAACACUGACGCUCAUGCACGAAGGUCAGGGGAGCAAACGGG